UUUCAGAGUACAAUGAUGCUUUAUUUUCCAAGCACAUAGCUGAUAUCAAUAUGCGGAAAGAUGAUACUGAGUGUUCUGGAA
ensembl:snoRNA